GACGAACGCUGGCGGCGUGCCUAAUACAUGCAAGUAGAACGCUGAAGGGAGAGCUUGCUCUUCUGGAUGAGUUGCGAACGGGUGAGUAACGCGUAGGUAACCUGCCUGGUAGCGGGGGAUAACUAUUGGAAACGAUAGCUAAUACCGCAUAACAGCAAAUGUUGCAUGACAUUUGCUUAAAAGGUGCAAUUGCAUCACUACCAGAUGGACCUGCGUUGUAUUAGCUAGUUGGUGGGGUAACGGCUCACCAAGGCGACGAUACAUAGCCGACCUGAGAGGGUGAUCGGCCACACUGGGACUGAGACACGGCCCAGACUCCUACGGGAGGCAGCAGUAGGGAAUCUUCGGCAAUGGACGGAAGUCUGACCGAGCAACGCCGCGUGAGUGAAGAAGGUUUUCGGAUCGUAAAGCUCUGUUGUAAGAGAAGAACAAGUGUGAGAGUGGAAAGUUCACACUGUGACGGUAUCUUACCAGAAAGGGACGGCUAACUACGUGCCAGCAGCCGCGGUAAUACGUAGGUCCCGAGCGUUGUCCGGAUUUAUUGGGCGUAAAGCGAGCGCAGGCGGUUAGAUAAGUCUGAAGUUAAAGGCUGUGGCUUAACCAUAGUACGCUUUGGAAACUGUUUAACUUGAGUGCAAGAGGGGAGAGUGGAAUUCCAUGUGUAGCGGUGAAAUGCGUAGAUAUAUGGAGGAACACCGGUGGCGAAAGCGGCUCUCUGGCUUGUAACUGACGCUGAGGCUCGGAAGCGUGGGGAGCAAACAGG
rnacentral:rRNA from 1 species